rnacentral:rRNA from 1 species
AGUGAACGCUGGCGGUAGGCCUAACACAUGCAAGUCGAACGGCAGCACAGUAAGAGCUUGCUCUUACGGGUGGCGAGUGGCGGACGGGUGAGGAAUACAUCGGAAUCUACUUUUUCGUGGGGGAUGACGUAGGGAAACUUACGCUAAUACCGCAUACGACCUACGGGUGAAAGCAGGGGAUCUUCGGACCUUGCGCGAGUGAAUGAGCCGAUGUCGGAUUAGCUAGUUGGCGGGGUAAAGGCCCACCAAGGCGACGAUCCGUAGCUGGUCUGAGAGGAUGAUCAGCCACACUGGAACUGAGACACGGUCCAGACUCCUACGGGAGGCAGCAGUGGGGAAUAUUGGACAAUGGGCGCAAGCCUGAUCCAGCCAUACCGCGUGGGUGAAGAAGGCCUUCGGGUUGUAAAGCCCUUUUGUUGGGAAAGAAAAGCAGCAGGUUAAUACCCCGCUGUUCUGACGGUACCCAAAGAAUAAGCACCGGCUAACUUCGUG